GCUCCUGGCCGGGUUUCCGGGUGGUUCGCGCUCCUUCUGAAUUAGCAGCGAAGUCGCGGCAGGUUCGAGGGUUGUUAUAGUAUGAAAUAUUCCAUUUAAGGCACUCAACAAAAUGCCUGGCACAAGAAACAUGGAUUUUUUCUCUGAUAUUCACUGUGAGAACCUGCCAAAGCUCUAAGAGACACUGAGCUGGAACCACCCAACUAAGCUACUCCUGGAUUUCUGAAUGUCUGAAACUGUGCAACAUAAUGUUUGUUGUUUCAAUCUGCUAAGUAUUGGGAUAAUUUGUUAUGCAGCCAUACUUAACUAAUACAGCAACUCUGCCAUGACAUUUCCUUGAAACUCUUUCAGGGUGCAGGAGACUGGGUAAUGAGAAAGGAAGACCAGUUCAGGAAAUUGUUCCAGGGCUUUCAUCAUUGGGAGUGGUUGGAUCAAUCCUUUGUCACUUCUUUUCCAACAGUAAGUCGAGUCAUGGAUUUCUGGCACUCCUUUAGUUCUAAAGGGAGAACCUUGACUCUGAUCAUAGCAAGAACAUGGAGUCUCUCACA